rnacentral:miRNA from 1 species
CUUGGCACUCGCGAACACCGCGA